rnacentral:rRNA from 1 species
CCUACGGUGGUCAGCAGUGAGGAAUAUUGGUCAAUGGACGAGAGUCUGAACCAGUCAAGUAGCGUGAAGGAUGACUGCCCUAUGGGUUGUACACUUCUUUUAUAUGGGAAUAAAAUGUUCCACGUGUGGGAUUUUGUAUGUACCAUAUGAAUAAGGAUCGGCUAACUCCGUGCCAGCAGCCGCGGUAAUACGGAGGAUCCGAGCGUUAUCCGGAUUUAUUUGGGUUAAAGGGAGCGUAGGUGGAUUGUUAAGUCAGUUGUGAAAGUUUGCGGCUCAACCGUAAAAUUGCAGUUGAAACUGGCAGUCUUGAGUACAGUAGAGGUGGGCGGAAUUCGUGGUGUAGCGGUGAAAUGCUUAGAUAUCACGAAGAACUCCGAUUGCGAAGGCAGCUCACUGGACUGCAACUGACACUGAGGCUCGAAAGUGUGGGUAUCAAACAGGAUUAGAUACCCCAGUAGUC